rnacentral:lncRNA from 1 species
UCAAACUUGGAGAGUGUGAAGUAUGCAGAACCACACUUGCAUUACCACAGUAAUGUGCUCAGGAGGGAAUGGCGUAACCUUUCAGAAGAGAGAGAGGAGAGAAGAACCACAGCGUAUGUGAGGAAUAUUUUUGAAAAUGCCAAAAAGGUGCUUUCUCAUCUGGACACUUGGGACUCUGGUAAGUAAAACUUGUCUUGAUGUAGGCCUUAGCUGUAAGCUUUAUUAGAAUACUUCCAUCUAGCUGCUGUUGGCUAAAAAUAAAUUGCUGGGUGUGUUUUCAGCACUGAAGAGUUUGAGGCAUUAAGAUGAAUGGUUAUUAAAUUACAGGAA